rnacentral:rRNA from 1 species
GAUGAACGCUGGCGGCGUGCCUAAUACAUGCAAGUCGAGCGAACAGACGAGGAGCUUGCUCCUCUGACGUUAGCGGCGGACGGGUGAGUAACACGUGGAUAACCUACCUAUAAGACUGGGAUAACUUCGGGAAACCGGAGCUAAUACCGGAUAAUAUAUUGAACCGCAUGGUUCAAUAGUGAAAGCCGUUUUUGCUGUCACUUAUAGAUGGAUCCGCGCCGCAUUAGGUAGUUGGUAAGGUAACGGCUUACCAAGGCAACGAUGCGUAGCCGACCUGAGAGGGUGAUCGGCCAAACUGGAACUGAGACACGGUCCAGACUCCUACGGGAGGCAGCAGUAGGGAAUCUUGCGCAAUGGGCGAAAGCUUGACAGAGCAACGCCGCGUGAGUGAAGAAGGUCUUCGGAUCGUAAAACUCUGUUAUUAGGGAAGAACAAAUGUGUAAGUAACUAUGCACGUCUUGACGGUACCUAAUCAGAAAGCCACGGCUAACUACGUG